GUUCCGUGUUAGCCGCUGCGGUAAUACGUAGGGUGCAAGCGUUAAUCGGAAUUACUGGGCGUAAAGCGUGCGCAGGCGGUUUUGUAAGACAGAGGUGAAAUCCCCGGGCUCAACCUGGGAACUGCCUUUGUGACUGCAAGGCUAGAGUACGGCAGAGGGGGGUGGAAUUCCGCGUGUAGCAGUGAAAUGCGUAGAUAUGCGGAGGAACACCGAUGGCGAAGGCAACCCCCUGGGCCUGUACUGACGCUCAUGCACGAAAGCGUGGGGAGCAAACAGGAUUAGAAAC
rnacentral:rRNA from 1 species